GACGAACGCUGGCGGCGUGCCUAAUACAUGCAAGUAGAACGCACAGUUUAUACCGUAGCUUGCUACACCAUAAACUGUGAGUUGCGAACGGGUGAGUAACGCGUAGGUAACCUGCCUGGUAGCGGGGGAUAACUAUUGGAAACGAUAGCUAAUACCGCAUAAUAUUGAUUAUUGCAUGAUAAUUGAUUGAAAGAUGCUAUUGCAUCACUACCAGAUGGACCUGCGUUGUAUUAGCUAGUAGGUGAGGUAACGGCUCACCUAGGCGACGAUACAUAGCCGACCUGAGAGGGUGAUCGGCCACACUGGGACUGAGACACGGCCCAGACUACUACGGGAGGCAGCAGUAGGGAAUCUUCGGCAAUGGACGAAAGUCUGACCGAGCAACGCCGCGUGAGUGAAGAAGGUUUUCGGAUCGUAAAGCUCUGUUGUAAGAGAAGAACGGGUGUGAGAGUGGAAAGUUCACACUGUGACGGUAUCUUACCAGAAAGGGACGGCUAACUACGUG
rnacentral:rRNA from 1 species